UAAGAUGGCGGCUUCCGUGCGCAGCGGGUUGCUGAGGCCAAGGGUGCUGUCCUGUAGCCGAGAGCCGCCUUGCACUUGGCGCGCCCUGCACACCUCCGCGGUCUGCGCCAAGGUAACCUGGAUGGGGAGGACCAUGCCGCAGAGCGAACGGUGGAGGAUGUUUUCCUUCGCAAGUUCAUGUGGGGUACCUUCCCAGGCUGCCUGGCUGACGAGCUGGUUAUAAAACGCCGGGCUAACCAGUUGGAGAUCUGUGCCCUGGUCCUGAGGCAGUUGCCUGCACACAAAUUCUACUUCCUUGUGGGCUAUAGUGAAACUUUGCUGUCCCACUUUUUCAAAUGUCCUGUGCGACUCCACCUCCAAACUGUGCCCUCACAGACAAGUGACAAGAUUCAAAGAGAAGGUGGCGACACCUCUUCAUGCCUUUCUUUUAGCUCAGAUCUCUGGGCUGAGGAGGAGGUUGACAAGCGCUACCAGAGUACUUCUGGCUCCAUGAUAUCUGUACUGGCUAACCACCAUGGUUUACACAUUACUGGGUCAUCCACCAUGCAGGAAGAAGCCUCUGACUGGUCCUGGAUGCGUCACGAUCCUGUGGCUGACAGAGUAGGGAGCUGCAGCAGAAACACUGCAAUUCCCAGAGGAGUGGCUGGGCGGACCACCCAAUAG